GAUGAACGCUAGCUACAGGCUUAACACAUGCAAGUCGAGGGGUAACGAGAGGAAAGCUUGCUUUCCUUGUCGACGACCGGCGCACGGGUGAGUAACGCGUAUCCAACCUGCCCCCAACUAGGGAAUAACCUUGCGAAAGUAAGACUAAUACCCUAUAAUUUCCUCAGAUGUCAUCUGACGAGGAAUAAAGAUUUAUCGGUUGUGGAUGGGGAUGCGUCUGAUUAGCUUGUUGGCGGGGUAACGGCCCACCAAGGCAACGAUCAGCAGGGGUUCUGAGAGGAAGGUCCCCCACAUUGGAACUGAGACACGGUCCAAACUACUACGGGAGGCAGCAGUGAGGAAUAUUGGUCAAUGGGCGGAAGCCUGAACCAGCCAAGUAGCGUGCAGGAUGACGGCCCUAUGGGUUGUAAGCUGCCUUUAUACAGGAAUAAAGUUAGCCACGUGUGGUUAUUUGUAGGUACUGUAUGAAUAAGGACCGGCUAAUUCCGUGCCAGCCGCCGCCGUAA
rnacentral:rRNA from 1 species